AACGAACGCUGGCGGCAUGCCUAACACAUGCAAGUCGAACGAGACCUUCGGGUCUAGUGGCGCACGGGUGCGUAACGCGUGGGAAUCUGCCCCUUGGUUCGGAAUAACAGCGAGAAAUUGCUGCUAAUACCGGAUAAUGACGUAAGUCCAAAGAUUUAUCGCCAAGGGAUGAGCCCGCGUAGGAUUAGCUAGUUGGUGUGGUAAAGGCGCACCAAGGCGACGAUCCUUAGCUGGUCUGAGAGGAUGAUCAGCCACACUGGGACUGAGACACGGCCCAGACUCCUACGGGAGGCAGCAGUGGGGAAUAUUGGACAAUGGGCGAAAGCCUGAUCCAGCAAUGCCGCGUGAGUGAUGAAGGCCUUAGGGGUUGUAAAGGCUCUUUUACCCGGGAAGAUAAUGACUGUACCGGGAGAAUAAGCCCCGGCUAACUCCGUGCCAGCAGCCGCGGUAAAGUGACUACU
rnacentral:rRNA from 1 species